UCCGAGCCAAAAUCCAAAAUAUACCAAAAAUACAUAAAAGGGUACUUUAAAAUUAUGGGUCUUACAUUACUCCCCCCCUAAAAUUAGUUUCGUCCUCGAAACUAUGCAUCGAUAAAUAACUCUGGGUGUUGUUCUCUCAUCUUGCUCUCUAGUUCCCAAGUCGCAUCUCCAGUAAUUGGGUUCCAGAUCACCUUGACCAACGAAACAUCCUUGG
rnacentral:lncRNA from 1 species